GGUGGCUCAGUGGUAGAGCGCUUGCCUUGCAUGCUUGAGGCCCUGGGUUCGAUUCCCAAGCACCA
rnacentral:tRNA from 1 species